UACAGGGGGUGCAAACGUUGCUCGGAAUUAUUGGGCGUAAAGCGCGCGUAGGCGGCCACUUAAGUCGGAUGUGAAAGCCCCUGGCUCAACUGGGGAAGUGCACCCGAAACUGAAUGGCUUGAGUGCGAAAGAGGGUCGCGGAAUUCCCGGUGUAGAGGUGAAAUUCGUAGAUAUCGGGAGGAACACCGGUGGCGAAGGCGGCGACCUGGGUUGACACUGACGCUGAGGCGCGAAAGCGUGGGGAGCAAACAGG
rnacentral:rRNA from 1 species